rnacentral:rRNA from 1 species
GAUGAACGCUGGCGGCGUGCCUAAUACAUGCAAGUCGAGCGAACAGACUAGGAGAUUGCCCCUCUGACGUUAGCGACGGACAGGUGGGUAACACGUGGAUAAACUCCCUAUAAGACUGGGAUAACUUCGGGAAACCGGAGCUAAUACCGGUAAUUAUAUUGAACCGAACUUAUCAAUAGUGAGAGAGGGAUUUGAUGUCACUUAUAGAUGGAUAUGCGCCUCAUUAGCUAGUUGGUAAGGUUACGGAUUCGCAAGGCAACGAGGAGUAGCCGACCCGAGAGGGUGAUCGGCCACACUGGAACGGAGAUACGGUGCAAACUCCUACGGGAGGCAGCAGUAGGGCAUCUUCCGCAAGGGGCGAAAGCCUAACGGAGCAACUCCGCGUGAGUGAUGAGGGGCUUCGGAUCGUGAAACUCGGUUAUUAGGGAGGAACAAAGUUCUAAGUAACGAGGCACGUCUUGACGGUACCUAAUCAGAAAGCCACGGCUAACUACGUG